AGUGACUUGAUCUCGGCGCUGGCAGAUGGUGGAGCUAUCAGAGCUGCAGCUGCCUUGGCUGCACACAUCCCUCUCGAGGGAGCUUUCCAGUCAUUUAGCUCCACUGCGGACUCAGAGCCAAAAUUAACAGUCUCCGGUGGGCCCUCAAAGCUCACCACCCACCCAAACACUCUGGCUUGCUGUCAUUCAACAGAUAGCCAGUGGGGAGCGGGGCCCAGACUCACCCUCCCUGCCCACCACCCGCAAGAGGAAACAGCACCACCACCUCUUGUGCCACAGCUGGGCCGGUCCCAGGAAGAAGCCAGCUGGGACUUGGAGUGACAAGCCUUCCCUCUGAUGUGUGUGCAGGGGGUGCCUGGUACAGAGGGACAGCAACCACAGAGCACUGCAGACGCCAAGACAUGCCUGCCUUAAUCUGAGGGCCCCACACGAGCCGGCUCAGGCCUCCUCUUCCUUCGUACCUCCCUCGAAGCCUGGGAUUCUGGGCAGUGAGUGCUCCAGCAGCUGACUGACUCCCAUGGGUCUGAACACCACCAGCCAGACAAGGCUUUCAGCGCUAAAUGACAUACUUUGGGGGCAGCAGCUAUGAUGUCACCUUUAUAAACCCACAUGCUGGACUCGGAGCUGUCAUAUUGUCUACUAAAUCCCUCAGAAGGAGGAAGUCUGAAUCGAGAUGGAUUUCAAAUGUUCGUUUCCAGUCAAACGGACUUAAAACUGUGCAUGUGAGGAGGAGUUCAAGGAAGUCAGCCUUGUUCUCCUGGAGGAGAAGCCUCGGGGUUUCAUGCUAGUCGCCUUUCAGCAGGAGCCAGGCUGUCGUGGAGGGGAGAGCUGAGACUCCAUCCUGUUGCUCCAUGGGGUAAAAGCAGAGCCAGUUGUUAUCAACCCAAUGUGGACAGACUCCAGCUCAACAGAAGAAAAGCCAGGGACCUUGAGACCCUCUGAGCAUCCUGUAGCUGUAAGGGUAUAAGUGAAACGUUGCCCAACUUGUAGAGGAGAUUUAAACAUGGAAAGGGGAGAGAAGAAGGCAUUGGAGGGGAGAGAAAUGAGAGUGGACCAGAUGGCCUUCAAACUCUUUCUAGCCCUGAAGAAUCUGACCAUUACUAUAGAAAGAAAAUGGCGCAAAACAGCAAGAGACUUCAAAGCCCCUGAGAACAAUUGUCCUAAUGAUGGAAGUCUGGAGAGGACUCCAGAAGUCAUUUUCUACAAUCUCCCCAUCCCCAGGCAGCCUUGCCCCACUGUGCAUUUAUCACCAGCCCAGAGAUUUCCACUGGAGCUAGCUGGAAUUUCUACAAGGCAGCAGCCAGAGGUGGUGGUGGGCUCUGUGGCAGCAGGUGGAGAGGAAAGGCUCUUUCUGGGCUGAGCAUCAAGCUGGAAAAAACAUUGCUGAAGACCCCACCACCAGCCCUCAGGUCUAUUGCAGAUGCACCUCUCUGUGCUGGAGGGAGAGAGCUUGGCGAGGGAGCUCAGUUGGAAGCGGUGAAACAAGCAUCAUUCUAUUGUUGAGCUGCCUCGCCAGCUGCUGACAAGGGAGGCUUUGCAGACAGACUGAACCUAUGGAGAGAUGAAAGUCGCUCAGAUAUAGACACACACACUCCCAGAGUUUCCUGUGCUUAAGCUGUUUGGAAGCUCUUGUCAUACGCACCUCGAGCAAAGAGAAAGGAGGCGAGCGGGAAUGACUGCUGGAAGUUGAGCAUGUUUCCCCAACGCUGGCGCUGCUCUGUAAUUCUCCUCCUUCACUAAGGAAGCUUUCUUUCAAAAUAAUUGGGGAGUGGCAUGACUCACAAUCACAGUGCCUUCACUCCCCGAGGAACAAGAAGUUAAUGGGCUUGCUGUAGGGUGACUAGGGGAAUUUGCCCCUCGGUGGGGAUCUUCCCAGACCCCCCGGGGACUGCCGCGUGCUAGCUAAUGUGGGCCAGCACCAGUGUGAGGCCAGCCCUCUGAGCCUUGGAAGCAUCUGGUGAGCUUUGUGCUCUCUGUGCAAGUGGUUGGCAUCCUAUAGGCAUAACCGUAGGCUUUCAGAGUGGGCACAGGCCAAAUGUCCUCCCCAUGGUGGAGAUUAACCGGGCUGGGAUCCCAUUACAGGAGAGUCUGUGAUGCUAGUUAACUCAUGCUGGUUCAUCUGCUCAUCUUGGCUCUGCUGUCACCUUCUCAGCCCCCUCCCUGUCUCCCUUAAUUUGAUCAUCUUGGCCCCCUCCCCUGUCGGGGCUAGAGGCUGCCCCAGGUCCCCAUCCUCCCAGACUUACCUUCAUCUCUGCUGAUCACACAGCACACUCUGUGUCUUUUUAUUUUCCUGCCUCAUCCAGUAGGUUCUGAGAUCCUUGAGGGUCCUCUCCACACUUUGUUAAACCAAGAAUACAAAUUGCUCAAAAGCAGGGCAGGGCUGGGUCCAGGGUGAGCAAGGAAGGCAUCCAGGGUGCAAAAUUCAAGGAGAUACACACUCUCGGGCUUCCACAAGCCCAGGUGGGCCCCUGAGAAUGAAUGCCUCCUGAAAACACUGGAAAACACCAGGUUGGGCUCACUGGAGUCCUGGCCCUGGGGCACGGAAAAGGAAAGAAUAUUAAUUGUUAAAAACCAACCAUGUAGAGACACUACACUAUUUCACUGAUCCUCAAAGUAAUCCUGUAGAAUAGGUACUGACAGCUUCAUUUACACAUAAAGAAAAUGAAGCUCGGUACAGUUUUGCACCUUGACAAUAGUCCCAGAACUAAUAUCACAGACCCGGAACAAACCCCAAUCUUCCUAACGCGGAGGCGCAUCAGACUGCCUCCAGCAACCGUCCGCAGCUGCUGUCCCAUGUCAGAGAAGAGUGCCUCUGAACGGGUGUCCUCUGAGGGGACAAAGGGCUUGGCCUCCUGGACAUGAGGGCCUGCUGCAGAGAACUAGCAGAGAAAAUGGAGAACAGACCCUCCUCCUCCAAGAGCAAAAGGUCCAACUUGGGAGCCGGGGAUACACAUGAGGAGUUCUAACACUUACUGACAAAUGCACAGACCAUUCUUGCACAAUUCCCAGCAGGCUAUCAGAAAGCAGGAACACUGAGUCCACUGAGCAGUUGCUUAGACUAAAGAUGCCAAGCAGUCAGUGCAAGGAGUUAGCUAAGACCAGCCUGUGGCAAGGUGGAGAUGCUGCCAUCAACCGAAGCAGAUGAAUGUUGUGGACUGCACGUCGUGACGGGGACAUGUGUGCUGAUGGGAUGCAGGGUAAGGGAACCAGGUGUCCACUUGCUGCCGUUGCUAUUUCUGUGCUCCAGACCAGCCUGGGGAACUGAGCUCUGCUCUGAAGCAGGCUCCUACUCCCCUUCCACCUCCUAUUCCAGGUGUCAAGGGUGGGAAAAACAUACCAGGUUGGAACAUCUUGAACUUCCCACCGGUUGUUCCAGGCAUUCGUCCGAAGCCACGUCAGGCCUAAUGCAGUUCCUUCAUCUCUAUACACCUGCCAAAUCUGAUUUAUUCUUCAAUAUUUGCUUAAAUGCUGCUUCCCCCUUCUCUCCUUCAGUCCCCACCACCCACUCUCUACUCUGGCCAAAUCAGUCUGCUGAUCUUAUCCCAUCACAAUUUCCUAUUAACAUUCCUUUUUCUUAUUUAUUCUUUCAACAUAUGGCUUUUCAGACUCUACUCUGUACCAGGCACUCUUCUACAAAGCUGCUGUAACUGCUGCAUCCUCAGUACCUGGAAUAGUGCCUGGUGCAGAGUAGAGGGAGACACUGACAUUCUGGUCAUGAUUUCCAUCUGUGCUUUGGCCUCACACACUGCAUCUUAAACUUUAAAAACUCAGCCUUUGCUUCAGCCUUAGGUCAUACCUCACCUCUUCCAUGGAGCCCUCCUUCAACUCAAGCAGGGUCGGUCACUCCUCAUGCUGGACUUUACUGUGAGCCAUGCAGUUGAUGCGUAUCAAACAUGACAUUUUCUUCUCUUUCUGUGUCUGUCCUCUCUCCCAAUGUAAGAUCCCAGGAGGGUGAGGACUCGUCUGUUUCGCCUGUAUGGUUCUGAAGCACCCAGCAGAGUUUUGCCACAGAUAAAUAAUAACAGCAUGUUAGGAAAAAAUAACAACUAGCAUUCAUUGCAUGCUUAUAAAGGACCAACUACUGUUCAAGAUACUUAAUAAGUAUCAGCUCACUUGAUCCUGACAACAAGCCUAUGGGGUUGGUAGGAGCUCAUGCAGGAAGCACAAACACAGGUGGAGGUGGCUACAGUGGCAGUGGCGGUGGCAGCAGAACUGAUAAUACCAUGUGCCAGGAUGAGCAGAGCCGGUGGGUUACAGAACGUGGGCUUUGGAGGAAGACCUGGAUUGGAGGCCUGGCUCCAUCAUCUAUCAGCCGGGUGACCUUGGGCAAGUGACUUCUCUUCCCUUGGCUUCAUUUCCUUCACUAUAAAAUGAGGAUAAUUCCAGCACCCGCCUCACAGAGCACAGAGGUGUGUGACAACUCUAUGAGCUGUGCAGACCACGCACCUCCAGCACAGAGCCUGACAUUGGUCUCAACAGUCAGCAGAUGGGAGUGUUUGCUGUUGUUAUUGUUGUUGUUAUUAUUGUAUCCCCCUUCCAAGAAUCACCCACACCUGUUUUCUGUUCCAUCCUGCCUCAGCUUCCCAUCCCCCGAUUACCCUCCUUCCACAUCCUCAAUCAGGUAGAGGAAAAUCUGAGUGCAAUAUACUGAGAAGACACUCUUCAGUCACUACCUUAUUCCUCCUCUUCCAACAAAUGAGCCCUGAAACAAAUAGAUCCCAGAUGUCACGACUUAUGUAUAAAAACCCAGGACCUUGGGACCAGAGAGGGAAUGGAAGCUCUGCUUGGGUGCUGAGAGAGCACUGAGGACUCAAAGAUAUGCAAAUCCAAGGGGGCAGCUCAGGAAGCCGGGCUACAUGUGAGAUUGUUAUCAUCUCUUUUCUGCUACUGCAGCGAUGAUGAUCGGCUGAGCUCUUUCAUUAGAAAUCUGAUGCUGCUGUUGAAAAAAAAAAAGAGAGAGAGAGAGAAAUACACAGCAGCCUCAAAAUGUGGGCACAAAGCGGUCUCCUGGGGAAAGCAGCUUUAUUUGUGUCGGCUACGAGUACUAAGGUCCUGUUCAUCCGCUGUUUAUUUGUGCUGUUUUGUUCCCCAGCACAUGACCUUUAUUCCAUCCACGUUUUGCAGGGUACCAGGAGUGCUAAACUCUUUGCAUUUCUCCUGCAUUUACAGCAGUUGGGAUCUAUGGCAGCCUCCUUCUUCCUGGCUUUCAUCUCUGCAUCCCUCCAUUUCUGCCUGCAGCAGUGAAGCAUCAAUUAUACACUCCAAUUAUGUGAUUACACAUAUUUUCACUAAUUAAUAAUUCUUGCCACUCAUCCUGCCAACUCCCAUUGGAGGGCUUCAGAGGGCACUGGAGAGGAUAACUCACAGCUCUGCCACCUGGGAGGGAAUGAGCAAGGCCUGAAGAAUUCCUGAUAUGAAAGGGAAACUGAGGCACCACAAGGUACUUCCUUGUGACAGAGGCAACCACUGAAUCCAAGACUUGCCUUUGUCUUGAUAGGGGAUUUGCUUGAGCAAAUAGAUCCAUUUGAUGUUGCUGCUGCCUGAAGAGGUGGCAGGAAGAAGAAAGUAGUUUAGCCCAGGGGUAGCACUUUGUAGGUGUUAAAUUGGCUAUCAUUAAGGCUCAAAUUUCUUCUUACUUAUAGAAAUCUGGAUUUUGGGGGUUACAUACCAUAGUGUGUCCUCCCCUCUUGAGACUCAGUAGCAUGCUGUGAAGAAAAGUUACUCUGUGAUUUGGAUAAAAACAUAGCUCUGUUCCCCAGAGUCAUACAGGAAUGAGAAGGCUGAGGCCUGGGAGGUGACCCAGUCCAGCCUACUCCAUUUUCAGAGACAGAGGCUUGAAACCCA
rnacentral:lncRNA from 1 species